rnacentral:rRNA from 1 species
AACACAUGCAAGUCGAACGAGAACCGAGUAGCUUGCUACUCGGGGAAAGUGGCGAACGGGUGAGUAACACGUGAGCAAUCUGCCCUCGAGUGAGGAAUAACCCCGCGAAAGCGGGGCUAAUACCGCAUGAUGCUCUGGAGCAUAAGCUUUCAGAGUUAAAGCCCUCGGGCGCUUGAGGAUGAGCUUGCGUCCUAUUAGCUUGUUGGUAGGGUAACGGCCUACCAAGGUUAUGAUGGGUAGCCGGCCUGAGAGGGUGUCCGGCCACACUGGAACUGGGACACGGUCCAGACUCCUACGGGAGGCAGCAGUGGGGAAUUUUGCGCAAUGGGCGAAAGCCUGACGCAGCGACGCCGCGUGGAGGAUGAAGGCUUUCGGGUUGUAAACUCCUGUCAGAGGUGAAGAAAACCCCCCCUAGGGGGGGCUUGACGGUAACCUCAGAGGAAGCCCCGGCUAACUACGUGCCAGCAGCCGCGGUAAUACGUANGGGGCAAACGUUGCUCGGAAUUAC